rnacentral:misc_RNA from 1 species
AACGCAUAUUGCGCUCUCUGGCUCUCCAGAGAGCAUGCCUGUUUGAGUAUCAGUUUAAUCUCAUAAACCCAUUUGGGUGUAUGGAUCUGAGCAAUCCGUUAGCGUAGAGUCGUUUAUUCGACAAUACGAUUACAUGCGGUUGCUUGAAAUGUAUGGCAAGCGGUACUGUCCACUGCUUAAGAUGGCUAGGCGUAUUAGUUUCUCAUUAUGGGAAUCCACUCUUGCGCCGGUGUAUACGGCCCCUUAAGCCUCGUGCUGGUUGAUCGUUUUGCUCUAUAUAUAAUGCGCUUGAGACCUGUUCUUAAGAGUAUAAACUAAGAUUUGUUUGCAGUAUGCAUUCCGAUCUUGAUCUUGAUCUCAAAUCAGGCAAGACUACCCGCUGAAUUUAA